UACGGAGGGUGCAAGCGUUAUCCGGAUUUACUGGGCGUAAAGCGUGCGCAGGCGGUGAUGUAAGGCAGGUGUGAAAUCCCCGGGCUUAACCUGGGAACUGCAUUUGUGACUGCAUCGCUGGAGUGCGGCAGAGGGGGAUGGAAUUCCGCGUGUAGCAGUGAAAUGCGUAGAUAUGCGGAGGAACACCGAUGGCGAAGGCAAUCCCCUGGGCCUGCACUGACGCUCAUGCACGAAAGCGUGGGGAGCAAACAGG
rnacentral:rRNA from 1 species